rnacentral:rRNA from 1 species
GAUGAACGCUGACAGAAUGCUUAACACAUGCAAGUCUACUUGAACUUCGGUUUGGGUGGCGGACGGGUGAGUAACGCGUAAAGAACUUGCCUCACAGUUAGGGACAACAUUUGGAAACGAAUGCUAAUACCUGAUAUUAUGAUUUUAGGGCAUCCUAAGAUUAUGAAAGCUAUAUGCACUGUGAGAGAGCUUUGCGUCCCAUUAGCUAGUUGGAGGGGUAACGGCUCACCAAGGCGAUGAUGGGUAGCCGGCCUGAGAGGGUGAACGGCCACAAGGGGACUGAGACACGGCCCUUACUCCUACGGGAGGCAACAGUGGGGAAUAUUGGACAAUGGACCAAAAGUCUGAUCCAGCAAUUCUGUGUGCACGAUGACGUUUUUCGGAAUGUAAAGUGCUUUCAGUUGGGAAGAAAAAAAUGACGGUACCAACAGAAGAAGUGACGGCUAAAUACGUG